rnacentral:rRNA from 1 species
CCCUACGGGGUGCACACGCCGUUGGAGUCGAAAACUGAUCUGGCCGAGAAGUACCAGGCCAAGGCCAAAGGGCUUCCCCCACGCGAAGGCCCUCGCGCCGAGAAGGUCUACGGUCCCUACGAGACCCGGCUCGUUCAGGACCACGCGGUCUACGCAGGCAUGAUCCAGAGCGUCGACGAGAGCGUCGGACGGGUCAUGGCCAAGCUGGGAGAACUGGGGCUCGAACAGGACACGGUCGUGAUCUUCAUGUCCGACAACGGCGGGCUCUCCACGGUCCAGCGUGAAGGCCCGACCUGCAACCUGCCCUUGUGGGCGGGCAAAGGCUGGCUCUACGAAGGCGGCAUUCGCGAGCCGAUGCUCAUCAAGUGGCCCGGCGUCGCCAAGCCGGGCAGCGAGUGUCACGAGC